AUACGUAGGGGGCGAGCGUUGUCCGGAAUGAUUGGGCGUAAAGGGCGCGUAGGCGGCCCGGUAAGUCUGGAGUGAAAGUCCUGUUUUUAAGAUGGGAAUUGCUUUGGAUACUGUCGGGCUUGAGUGCAGGAGAGGUAAGUGGAAUUCCCAGUGUAGCGGUGCAAUGCGUAGAGAUUGGGAGGAACACCAGUGGCGAAGGCGACUUACUGGACUGUAACUGACGCUGAGGCGCGAAAGUGUGGGGAGCAAACAGGAUUAGAUACCCUGGUAGUCCACACUGUAAACGAUGAAUGCUAGGUGUAGGGGGUAUCGACCCCUUCUGUGCCGCAGUCAACACAAUAAGCAUUCCGCCUGGGGAGUACGGCCGCAAGGUUGAAACUCAAAGGAAUUGACGGGG
rnacentral:rRNA from 1 species